rnacentral:rRNA from 1 species
GUUCUUAAAACCCAAAGAAUUUGGCGGUGUUUUAGUCUGUUUAGAGGAAUUUGCCCCUUAAUCGAUAGUCCUCGUUUUAUCUUACUUGAUUUUGUUUUCAGUAUGUAUACCGCCGUUAUAAGUUUAUUUUUGUAGGAUGAUUUACUCUAUAGUUUAUUUUCUAUUAUUUCAGGUCAAGGUGCAGCUAAUAAUUAAGUGGUGGUGGAUUACAUUAUAAUUUAUUUAUUACGGAUAUUUAUAUUAAAAGUUUAUUGAAGGUGGAUUUGAUAGUAAUUUUAAAGACAGUGUUAAUUUGAUUUUAGCUCUAGAAUAAGUACACAUCGCCCGAUCGCUCUA